rnacentral:rRNA from 1 species
AACGAACGCUGGCGGCAUGCCUAACACAUGCAAGUCGAACGAGACCUUCGGGUCUAGUGGCGCACGGGUGCGUAACGCGUGGGAAUCUACCCUUGGGUUCGGAAUAACAGUUAGAAAUGACUGCUAAUACCGGAUGAUGACGUAAGUCCAAAGAUUUGUCGCCCAAGGAUGAGCCCGCGUAAGAUUAGCUUGUUGGUGGGGUAAUGGCCUACCAAGGCGACGAUCUUUAGCUGGUCUGAGAGGAUGAUCAGCCACACUGGGACUGAGACACGGCCCAGACUCCUACGGGAGGCAGCAGUGGGGAAUAUUGGACAAUGGGCGAAAGCCUGAUCCAGCAAUGCCGCGUGAGUGAUGAAGGCCUUAGGGUUGUAAAGCUCUUUUACCAGGGAUGAUAAUGACAGUACCUGGAGAAUAAGCUCCGGCUAACUCCGUGCCAGCCGCCGCGGUAA